rnacentral:rRNA from 1 species
GACGAACGCUGGCGGCGUGCUUAACACAUGCAAGUCGAACGCUGAAGCUUGGUGCUUGCACUGGGUGGAUGAGUGGCGAACGGGUGAGUAAUACGUGAGUAACCUGCCCUUGACUCUGGGAUAAGCCUGGGAAACUGGGUCUAAUACUGGAUACGACAUGUCACCGCAUGGUGGUGUGUGGAAAGGGUUUUACUGGUUUUGGAUGGGCUCACGGCCUAUCAGCUUGUUGGUGGGGUAAUGGCUCACCAAGGCGACGACGGGUAGCCGGCCUGAGAGGGUGGCCGGGCACACGGGGACUGAGACACGGCCCAGACUCCAACGGGGGGCAGCAGUGGGGAAUAUGGCACAAUGGGCGGACGCCUGAUGCAGCGACGCCGCGUGAGGGAUGAAGGCCUUCGGGGUGUAAACCUCUUUCAGCACGGAAGAAGCGAAAGUGACGGUACGUGCAGAAGAAGCGCCGGCUAACUACGUG